AGCUUUUUGAAUCCGUGCUAAGAUUUCGUCAGGAACCAAACACUUAGGGCUUGUGAGACUUCCAAGAUAAUUGGAGCU
rfam:Schistosoma rodhaini strain Burundi genome assembly, scaffold: SROB_contig0005264